rnacentral:rRNA from 1 species
UACGUAGGGGGCAAGCGUUGUCCGGAAUUACUGGGCGUAAAGCGCGUGUAGGCGGGACGACAAGUCCGGCGUGAAAGGCUUGGGCUCAACCCGAGAAGGCCGUUGGAAACUGUCGUUCUUGAGGGUCGAAGAGGAGAGUGGAAUUCCUGGUGUAGCGGUGAAAUGCGUAGAGAUCAGGAGGAACACCCAUGGCGAAGGCAGCUCUCUGGUCGACCUCUGACGCUGAGACGCGAAAGCGUGGGGAGCGAACAGG